rnacentral:rRNA from 1 species
GACGAACGCUGGCGGCGUGCUUAACACAUGCAAGUCGAACGGAAAGGCCCUGCUUUUGUGGGGUGCUCGAGUGGCGAACGGGUGAGUAACACGUGAGUAACCUGCCCUUGACUUUGGGAUAACUUCAGGAAACUGGGGCUAAUACCGGAUAGGAGCUCCUGCUGCAUGGUGGGGGUUGGAAAGUUUCGGCGGUUGGGGAUGGACUCGCGGCUUAUCAGCUUGUUGGUGAGGUAGUGGCUUACCAAGGCUUUGACGGGUAGCCGGCCUGAGAGGGUGACCGGCCACAUUGGGACUGAGAUACGGCCCAGACUCCUACGGGAGGCAGCAGUGGGGAAUAUUGCACAAUGGGCGGAAGCCUGAUGCAGCAACGCCGCGUGCGGGAUGACGGCCUUCGGGUUGUAAACCGCUUUCGCAUGUGACGAAGCGUGAGUGACGGUAAUGGGUAAAGAAGCACCGGCUAACUACGUG